AACACUGAAAGCACAAUACAUCGCUCAAUCUUGGGAAUUCUGACCAGUUCAAUCAAGUGACAUUGCACACUGACCUUGAUGGCAACGGAAUUUAAUGGCCUACGCGAUCCUGAAAGAACCGGAGAAAAGUGCUGCUAUUUGGAGAUGCUGUUCUUCACGAGUUUCUGAGGUCACUGCCACUGUGUAAGCGGCCAUCAGACACAAUAAUGAGAAGCUCAUCAGAAAAUGGAAUAUAAUGUGUAAUUUGUAUUUGUGUAUAGAGGGUCACCAUUGGUCCAAUAAUUUAAUUCUUUAAUGAAAAA